rnacentral:rRNA from 1 species
GUGAUGGGGAGAAGACAUUGUGUCUUCGAGUCGUUGAUUUCACACUGCCGAGAAAAGCCUCUAGAUAGAAAAUAGGUGCCCGUACCGCAAACCGACACAGGUAGUCAAGAUGAGAAUUCUAAGGUGAGCGAGCGAACUCUCGUUAAGGAACUCGGCAAAAUGACCCCGUAACUUCGGGAGAAGGGGUGCUCUUUAGGGUUAACGCCCAGAAGAGCCGCAGUGAAUAGGCCCAAGCGACUGUUUAUCAAAAACACAGGUCUCUGCUAAACCGUAAGGUGAUGUAUAGGGGCUGACGCCUGCCCGGUGCUGGAAGGUUAAGAGGAGUGGUUAGCUUCUGCGAAGCUACGAAUCGAAGCCCCAGUAAACGGCGGCCGUAACUAUAACGGUCCUAAGGUAGCGAAAUUCCUUGUCGGGUAAGUUCCGACCCGCACGAAAGGCGUAACGAUUUGGGCACUGUCUCAACGAGAGACUCGGUGAAAUCAUAGUACCUGUGAAGA